AAAAAAAAAAAAACAACGAGCAUAGCUACACUAAACUUUUAACGUUCAAAAAUUCAAUGCGUACACAUAAGAAUAAAUAAAUAAGCGCGUGUAUGUAUGAAUACAUAUAAUAAAUGAUAUUUCAAUAAUUUUCAAACAACAAAAGGUUCGAGCAACUUUCUGUGAAAAAAUAAGAUGUUUAGAUGUAAUCGAAAAAUGAGUGUGUCAAGCCGUCCUCUUUACAAAGAAUCAACCCUAAACUAAUGUAAACUACGACUUUUUAAAGUUAUAAACCUUGAAAAGGACUAACGAAUCGUUGGUAGAAUAGCAGAACAAGGCGUGACUUGUGUGCGAGUGUACAUAAAGACGGAAAGUAUGUGAAACCGAGGCGCAAGAAUGGCCGCCCUUUUGCCUCUGGCCCACCUUUUGUGUCCGUGCGUGUGAAAUAAAACAAAAAAGCAACAGAAAAAGCGGAAAAAAACGAAAAAAUCGGGGAAAACGGCAACUACUACAAUCAGCGACAAUGGAAUAGCGAUUCAAUGUCACAGCAAGCGAGAUACAGAAACGGAUAACCCAUAUACAUAUACCCAUACCCACUCAUAUGUAUACCGCUCACGUAUGUAGAGAAAAGCUAUAGCCGCAGAUUAGUGAGCCAGUUUCAAGGGGACGACAACGAAGAAGCGAAGACGACGACGACAAUCAACAUUCAUCAUACGCACCGUUGGACGCGGCGCAAAACGCAAAUGCAGCCCCCGAUCGAUCGAUUUUUGAUUUUGUAUCCCCAUCAUCACCACCACCACUACCACCACAA